rnacentral:rRNA from 1 species
AGCCAUUAGAAAUUAUUAUUGGUUUUACCUGCCCGGUGCUAGGUUAACGGCCGCGGUAUUUUGACCGUGCUAAGGUAGCGUAAUCAGUUGGCUUUUAAUUGGAGUCAGGUAUGAAUGGAUAAACAAAGCUUAGCUGUCUCUUUUCUAUUUAAUUGAAUUUACUGUUUGAGUGAAAAAGCUCAUGUAACAAAGGGGGACGAGAAGACCCUUAGAGCUCUAUAAAAUACAAAUGAUGUUUGUUGUUACUUUGUUGGGGCGACAAGAGGACAACUAUAACUCCUAUCUUUUUACAUGCCGAUAUUGUUAUGUUGGAAUGAGCUACCUGAGGGAUAACAGCAUUAUUCUAUAAGUGAGUUUGUGACCUCGAUGUUGGACUAGGAAACUAACAGGCUAGCCGUUUGUUGUGUUGGUUCUGUUCGAACCUAAAUUCCUA